rnacentral:rRNA from 1 species
UACGUAGGGAGCAAGCGUUGUCCGGAAUCAUUGGGCGUAAAGCGCGCGUAGGUGGCUUCGUAAGUCCGUUGUGAAAGUCAAAGGCUCAACCUUUGAAUGCCGAUGGAUACUGCGGAGCUAGAGUACGGAAGAGGCGAGUGGAAUUCCUGGUGUAGCGGUGGAAUGCGCAGAUAUCAGGAGGAACACCAAUAGCGAAGGCAGCUCGCUGGGACGUUACUGACACUAAGGCGCGAAAGCGUGGGGAGCAAACAGG